rnacentral:rRNA from 1 species
UACGUAGGAGGCGAGCGUUGUCCGGAGUUACUGGGCGUAAAGGGUGCGCAGGCGGUGGCCCCGCGUGGGCGGUGAAAGCUCCUGGCUCAACUGGGAGAGGGCCGUCCAGACGGGGUCACUUGAGAGGCGGAGAGGAGCGUGGAAUUCCGGGUGGAGCGGUGAAAUGCGCAGAUAUCGGGAGGAACACCGGUGGCGAAGGCGGUCUCUGGGCCUGUACUGACGCUGAGGAGCGAAAGCGUGGGGAGCGAACAGG